rnacentral:rRNA from 1 species
UACCCUCGGGUGGGGGAUAACCUCGGGAAACUGAGGCUAAUACCCCAUAGGCCUCGGAUACUGGAAGGUUCCGAGACCGAAAGCUCCGGCGCCCGAGGAUGGGUCUGCGGCCUAUCAGGUAGUUGGUGGUGUAAAGGACCACCAAGCCUACGACGGGUACGGGCCCUGAGAGGGGGAGCCCGGAGAUGGACUCUGAGACACGAGUCCAGGCCCUACGGGGCGCAGCAGGCGCGAAACCUUCGCAAUGCGCGAAAGCGCGACGAGGGGAGCCCGAGUGCCCUUCCUUUCGGGAGGGCUUUUCUGGAGCCUAAAAAGCUCCAGGAAUAAGGGCUGGGCAAGACGGGUGCCAGCCGCCGCGGUAAUACCCGCAGCUCGAGUGGUGGCCACUAUUAUUGAGCCUAAAGCGUCCGUAGCCGGACCCGUAAAUCCCUGGGUAAAUCCUGGCGCUCAACGUCAGGAAUUCCGGGGAGACUGCGGGUCUUGGGACCGGGAGAGGCCGGAGGUACUCCCGGGGUAGGGGUAAAAUCCUGUAAUCCCGGGGGGACCACCUGUGGCGAAAGCGUCCGGCUUGAACGGCUCCGACGGUGAGGGACGAAGGCCAGGGGAGCAAACCGG